rnacentral:rRNA from 1 species
GCACAAGCGGUGGAGUACGUGGUUUAAUUCGACGCAACGCGCAGAACCUUACCAGGUCUUGACAUCCCGAUGCUAUUUCUAGAGAUAGAAAGUUACUUCGGUACAUCGGUGACAGGUGGUGCAUGGUUGUCGUCAGCUCGUGUCGUGAGAUGUUGGGUUAAGUCCCGCAACGAGCGCAACCCCUAUUGUUAGUUGCCAUCAUUCAGUUGGGCACUCUAGCGAGACUGCCGGUAAUAAACCGGAGGAAGGUGGGGAUGACGUCAAAUCAUCAUGCCCCUUAUGACCUGGGCUACACACGUGCUACAAUGGUUGGUACAACGAGUUGCGAGUCGGUGACGGCGAGCUAAUCUCUUAAAGCCAAUCUCAGUUCGGAUUGUAGGCUGCAACUCGCCUACAUGAAGUCGGAAUCGCUAGUAAUCGCGGAUCAGCACGCCGCGGUCGAAUACGUUCCCGGGCCUU